rnacentral:lncRNA from 1 species
CCCUCGGCCCCCCUGCGGGGACCUCGCCUGACCCCGGCUCUCUGGGCGCCUGGGGCUAGCGGGAGGAGGCAGGGAUGGGGGAGACCGCGGCUUCCUCCCCUUCCCCCCCAGCCCGGCCGUCUCCCUCCUUCCCGGCUCGGCCUCCCCCGUUUCCAGUCUCGGGGCUCCUCUUAGCCCGCCUCCCCUUGGAGAGAGCGGCUCUCCUCCCGGCCUCGGACCCCCAGCCCCCUCGGCCUCAGCCCCCGGCACCAGCGGCGGCGGCGGGGCGGAGGGACCGAAGCCUCUCCCCCAACCCCCCGGUAACCUUGGAGGCGCCCUCGCAGUCUUCUCCUCGCCCUCCGCCUCGCUCCAGCCAGUCUGAGGACGGGCCGGGGCAGCAGCUCCAGAGACGCCCCCCGCCCCCACCCCUACAGCGCGCUGUCAGCCAGAAAUAUCCGUUCCUUGGGGGAGGAAGCAGCGCGCCGCCAGCCCUCGCUCCCGCUGCCCCGUUAGCGCCGCCGGUCCAGGCGCUUCCCGGCGGAGACUGCGGGGCCGCAUUGUAAAAGCCGCUCGGUGACCAAGCGAAGCCGAGCGCUCUGACCCCCAAGCCCCGGGCCGCCUAACGCUCGGCCAGCUGGGGAAACGGCGCCCGGCUCCCGGCUCGGUCUGGGGAGGCCGGCCGGCGGCCACGGUCCGCGCUCUCGCCCCGGGACCGGGCAGCACCCGCGGGGGCAGCCGGCGCGCGGAGCCGUCGCCCUCCGCCCCCUCCGCCUUUUCGGGGCUGGCGCCGGGGGGGGGGGGGGGGUCCAGCUUUUUCCAGACUCACAUUCGAAUUCAGGCGUGGAACCGACCGGUGCACGUGAGGUCCCGGUGAAACACGCCCUCCUCCCCUCCCCCGGAGAAGCACCGGCCGGAGCCCAAAGCCCCGGCCCCCCCCGGGAAGGGGCCUCGGAGCGGCCCGAGGAGUCCGGCCCGCGGUGCCGGAAGAACUCUCCAUCCCCGGGCUCGUGUCUGCGCGGACUGUAACAGUGUCUCCCCGAGCGCCGGGCGGGAAGUGCUGCGCCAGCCACUCGGGCCCAGCUCUGGGGCUGCGGUCCUUCCCUUAAGGCACUUCUGCUCAAAAGGGCCUCGGCUCCCCGGCAGCAUCCCUGGGAGUGCCCUCCCUGCCCACUCAGCCACUUCAAACCAAGCCGCCCGAAAGGGCCUUUGGGGACAUUUUAAAUGUGCUUUUCUAUUUUUGUCAUGACGUGGGGCAGGUCGGGAUGGACUUGCUCGCCUCGCUCGUGACCGAAAGAAAGAAGCUAAAAGUCCAUCAGUUGCUUGUUGUUGUUGUUCUUUUUGCUGAUUCAAGAUGCGAUGAAAUCACCCCAAGCAGAGCAAAAAUAUUAUCACGUGGGAACAAAUUAUUAAAUUAAGCAGCUGGAACUUAUUAAUGAUUAACAAGAGCACAAUCCUUCUUAUCAAUACCCAAGUAAGCAAGGCAGCAUACUAUGGUAUCUCAAGCUGCAAUGAGAGAUAGUAGCCAAGAGCAGAAAAUGCAACCGAAGAUACAAAGAAAACAGCCUCCCUUUUAAGACACGGCACAAUGCCUUAAUGUGUAUUUAAAAUAAAAUCACACUCGUUUUAUAGCACAUUAUUUUAUCUCCUGUGCUAUCAAUUAUUUUUUUGCUUCCUUUCUCUCUGCUCACCCUAAAUACUUACUAAUUGAUGUGAGUCAUCAUAGCUCUCUAUUUUCUUGUCUCCACACUGUAAGUAAUGAACGAGUCAAAUACCUAAGGGAAUCGUGUUUUCCAGAUUUAAAAAAAAUUUCUUGACCCUUCAGGCAGUCAUUUCCAUGAUGUAUGAACAUUACUCUAAUUUUAAAGGCAUAUUUUAUUUGUUGGAAAAGUAGUUACUAUCACUUUUGUUGAAAUUCUGCAGUGGGCCUAUGUGGGGUGGAAGGGAAGCACACAGUGCCUGAUCUUAUUUUCAUAAAAAUUACAUAGGAAAAAAAUUGCUGUGAAUCCUAUAAUGUGGUAAUUCACAAACUGACAUAGUUAAUAUAAAUUGGACAAAAUUUUCCAAUAUUCAAGAGCCUAACACAUGCUAAAAAGUUAGACAUAGGAGUAAGAACAGUAAAUUUCAUGUCUGGUCUUUCACCAAGUCAUUUGCUGUUUAUUAACUUUUCAAAAUAGGAUAUGAUUUAUAAUUUUUGCCUUAGGAGACUAAUAGAAAAUUAAAUCUGUUAAUGUCUGUAGAGAAAUAGGAGGAAAAGAAAAUGCCAUAAAACCCAAAGCAAUAUUAUAUAUGUACAUAUAUUUUUUUUAAAGCAAAUUGUCCUUUCUGAAGGUGAAUAUCUAUAAUAUGCCUUCCUUAUUGGAAUUGUAUUUCAGAUGAUCAUUUUUUAAAUUUCUAAUUGCCUUCACUGGGUCCAAAAGCUCCCAUGUAUCCCUUCAGCCUAAAAGCAUGCAAUUGGUGCAACAAAGGACAAAACAGCAUAAUUUAGUGGUCUUUCAGAUCAUUUUAAAAAACACCUCCCUCUUGAUAAAUUUUAUAUAUAUAUAUAAAAACAAAUAUAUUUAUUAAAUAUUUUUAAAUUUUACCAAUUUAGUUCCACAUUACUUUUGAGCUGCCAAACUAUGAUUUUUUUGCUACAGUGAAAGAAAGAAUUUCCCUCAUACACAAGUUCAUUUUUCUUUCUGACCCAAAUAAAAGAAGGCUAAUUAUAAAUUACAAUUGUUCUCAUUUCUAA